AGUGAACGCUGGCGGCGUGCUUAAUACAUGCAAGUCGAACGAUGAAGCUUCUAGCUUGCUAGAAGUGGCUUAGUGGCGCACGGGUGAGUAAUAUAUAGUUAAUCUGCCUUGCACUGAGGAACAACAGUUGGAAACGAUUGCUAAUACCUCAUACUCCAACUUAGCAUAAGUUAAGUUGGGAAAGUCUUUUCGGUGCAAGAUGAGACUAUAUCGUAUCAGCUAGUUGGUAAGGUAAUGGCUUACCAAGGCUAUGACGCGUAACUGGUCUGAGAGGAUGAUCAGUCACAUUGGAACUGAGACACGGUCCAAACUCCUACGGGAGGCAGCAGUAAGGAAUAUUGUGCAAUGGGGGAAACCCUGACGCAGCAACGCCGCGUGGAGGAUGACACUUUUCGGAGCGUAAACUCCUUUUGUUAGGGAAGAAUAAUGACGGUACCUAACGAAUAAGCACCGGCUAACUCCGUG
rnacentral:rRNA from 1 species